rnacentral:rRNA from 1 species
AUUGAACGCUGGCGGCAGGCCUAACACAUGCAAGUCGGACGGUAGCACAGAGGAGCUUGCUCCUCGGGUGACGAGUGGCGGACGGGUGAGUAAUGUCUGGGGAUCUGCCCGAUAGAGGGGGAUAACCACUGGAAACGGUGGCUAAUACCGCAUAACGUCGCAAGACCAAAGAGGGGGACCUUCGGGCCUCUCACUAUCGGAUGAACCCAGAUGGGAUUAGCUAGUAGGCGGGGUAACGGCCCACCUAGGCGACGAUCCCUAGCUGGUCUGAGAGGAUGACCAGCCACACUGGAACUGAGACACGGUCCAGACUCCUACGGGAGGCAGCAGUGGGGAAUAUUGCACAAUGGGCGCAAGCCUGAUGCAGCCAUGCCGCGUGUAUGAAGAAGGCCUUCGGGUUGUAAAGUACUUUCAGCGGGGAGGAAGGCGAUAAGGUUAAUAACCUUGUCGAUUGACGUUACCCGCAGAAGAAGCACCGGCUAACUCCGUGCCAGCCGCCGCCGUAA